rnacentral:rRNA from 1 species
GACGAACGCUGGCGGCGUGCUUAACACAUGCAAGUCGAGCGGUAAGGCCCUUUCGGGGGUACACGAGCGGCGAACGGGUGAGUAACACGUGGGUGACCUGCCCUCAGCUCUGGGAUAAGCCUGGGAAACCGGGUCUAAUACUGGAUAUGACUCCAUGACGCAUGUUGUGGGGUGGAAAGCCUUGUGCGGCUGAGGAUGGGCCCGCGGCCUAUCAGCUUGUUGGUGGGGUGANGGCCUACCAAGGCGACGACGGGUAGCCGGCCUGAGAGGGCGACCGGCCACACUGGGACUGAGACACGGCCCAGACUCCUACGGGAGGCAGCAGGUGGGGAAUCUUGCGCAAUGGGCGAAAGCCUGACGCAGCGACGCCGCGUGAGGGAUGACGGCCUCGGUUGUAACG